CUUGGUAGAAAAUGAGAGAUAGAAUGGAGAGACUUGUGGUGCUUCCUUUCUCCGUCGGAUGUAUCUCCGACUCAAGCGUCGACGUUUUAUCUCCUCUCUCUAAGCAUCAUCAUCAUCACCACCAUUCUUCUCAAGGUUCUUUCCCUAUUCAUAGAUAUUGUAGUGUAUGUAUUAAGGUAAAAUCCCAUGCAUGUAUCUUUUAUGUGAUAUAUUGAUGUGUUUUCGAAAGGGAUUCGUGACCAAGAGGAGGAAGAAAACAUGAAGAAUGUAUUCAAGUUCCUAGCGGUAUCUAAACCGGAGAUAUCUACGGGUAUUAACCGGCUUUUCAAGAGCUUCAAGACCAUUUCUCAACUCUUUGGUAAUCUUAUCUAAUAUUGUCAAAGUAAACACUUGAUAGACCCACUUUUUUAUAUAUGUUUUUUUUUUUGCUUCAUGUUAAUACAGUAGCUUACAAAGAAGAAGAAGAGAGUGAAGAAGGAGAGACAUCAGGACUAAUGGAGAUAGGAGCACCGACAAACGUAAAACAUGUAUCGCACAUUGGUUGGGAAAGCAGUAGAGAAUGGAAAGAUCUCAUACCGCCGGAGUUGCUCGCAGCCGCCGCUGCAAAAGAAGACGCCACCGCAGGAGUUGCUCAUCUUCAACCAACUUUAUAAAUUCACUUCCUCUAUUUAAAUUUAUUUUAUGUUUUGUACGCGAAUCUAGACAUACUUUGAUACAUAUGGCCG
rnacentral:lncRNA from 1 species